UACGGAGGGUGCAAGCGUUGCUCGGAAUUAUUGGGCGUAAAGGGCAGGUAGGUGGUCUCAUUUGUCUAGGGUGAAAUCCUUGAGCUUAACUCAAGAAGUGCCCUAGAAACGGUGAGACUGGAGUCUUGGAGAGGGUCGUGGAAUUCCCGGUGUAGCGGUGAAAUGCGUAGAUAUCAGGAGGAACACCGGUGGUGUAGACGGCUUUCUGGACCGCAACUGACGCUGAGACACGAAAGCGUGGGUAGCAAACAGG
rnacentral:rRNA from 1 species